GUCCGCGUAACUCAGUGGUAGAGUGUGAGAUUGCAAUAUGUUGGUCGCAUCUUGAAGCCGCGUGUUCGAACCACGCCGCGGACU